rnacentral:tmRNA from 1 species
UAAGCCGAUCGUCGCUAUAUAGGGCCUGCUCGUUUCGGCGGGCUAUGGCGAUAAAUUGCGGUGUGCAAUAGACGCAACGGACCCGGGGGCAGUACCCGGCGGCUCCACCAAAAACGGCGGUUUUCCGCCGUUCCUGACGGGGCCGAACCAGGAUCGACGUGUGUUGAAAAGCAUCGUUUUCGCCCGGGCUGAGUACCCCGUAAAACUGUUCAAACACACAAGUGCCAAUGACAAUGAAGCACUCGCUCUCGCUGCGUAAUCUGACGGCCUAACGGCCCGAACUUACAAAGCCAAAGCGCGGUUGGACCCACCGGGCAACAGAAG